CCUGAACCUACGGUCUCGCGAAUGCAUCAGAUUAUNGAUUUGAUCAUGGCUCAGAAUCAACCGCUGGCGGCGUGCCUAACACAUGCAAGUCGAACGCGAAAGUGGGGCAAUCCAUGAGUAGAGUGGCGAACGGGUGAGUAACACGUGGGUGACCUACCCUCGAGUGGGGGAUAACAUCCCGAAAGGGGUGCUAAUACCGCAUGACAUCCUGCCUUUGAACAGGUGGACAUUAAAGCCGGGGAUCGCAAGACCUGGCGCUCGAAGAGGGGCCCGCGCCCGAUUAGCUAGUUGGUGAGGUAACGGCUCACCAAGGCUACGAUCGGUAUCCGGCCUGAGAGGGCGGACGGACACACCGGGACUGAGACACGGCCCAGACUCCUACGGGAGUGCAGCAGUGGGGAAUUGUUCGCAAUGGGCGAAAGCCUGACGACGCAACGCCGCGUGGAGGA
rnacentral:rRNA from 1 species